CAAACACCUGACAGGGAAGGUCUAAGUUUACUUGCUCCUGCCUCACUGCAGGGGGUUGGACUUGAUGACCUUGCAAGGUCCCUUCCUGGCCUUCAUUUCUAUGAUUCUAGUAUCUACUUAAGAGAAUUCACUACAAUUCCAGGAUGAAAGAUUUUGGUUGGGGUCAUUGAGC